rnacentral:rRNA from 1 species
UGGGGAAUAUUGGACAAUGGGCGCGAGCCUGAUCCAGCCAUGCCGCGUGAGUGAUGAAGGCCCUAGGGUUGUAAAGCUCUUUCACCGGUGAAGAUAAUGACGGUAACCGGAGAAGAAGCCCCGGCUAACUUCGUGCCAGCAGCCGCGGUAAUACGAAGGGGGCUAGCGUUGUUCGGAUUUACUGGGCGUAAAGCGCACGUAGGCGGACUUUUAAGUCAGGGGUGAAAUCCCGGGGCUCAACCCCGGAACUGCCUUUGAUACUGGAAGUCUUGAGUAUGGUAGAGGUGAGUGGAAUUCCGAGUGUAGGGGUGAAAUCCGUAGAUAUUCGGAGGAACACCAGGGGCGGAGGCGGCUCACUGGACCAUUACUGACGCUGAGGUGCGAAAGCGUGGGGAGCAAACAGG